CGAAGCGUGCGAUUGGAUUGCACGUCUAAGCAGUAAGGCUGAGUAUUAGGCAAAUCCGGUACUCGUUAAGGCUGAGCUGUGAUGGGGAGAAGACAUUGUGUCUUCGAGUCGUUGAUUUCACACUGCCGAGAAAAGCCUCUAGAUAGAAAAUAGGUGCCCGUACCGCAAACCGACACAGGUAGUCAAGAUGAGAAUUCUAAGGUGAGCGAGCGAACUCUCGUUAAGGAACUCGGCAAAAUGACCCCGUAACUUCGGGAGAAGGGGUGCUCUUUAGGGUUAACGCCCAGAAGAGCCGCAGUGAAUAGGCCCAAGCGACUGUUUAUCAAAAACACAGGUCUCUGCUAAACCGUAAGGUGAUGUAUAGGGGCUGACGCCUGCCCGGUGCUGGAAGGUUAAGAGGAGUGGUUAGCUUCUGCGAAGCUACGAAUCGAAGCCCCAGUAAACGGCGGCCGUAACUAUAACGGUCCUAAGGUAGCGAAAUUCCUUGUCGGGUAAGUUCCGACCCGCACGAAAGGCGUAACGAUUUGGGCACUGUCUCAACGAGAGACUCGGUGAAAUCAUAGUACCUGUGAAGAUGCAGGUUACCCGCGACAGGACGGAAAGACCCCGUGGAGCUUUACUGUAGCCUGAUAUUGAAAUUCGGCACAGCUUGUACAGGAUAGGUAGGAGCCUUUGAAACGUGAGCGCUAGCUUACGUGGAGGCGCUGGUGGGAUACUACCCUAGCUGUGUUGGCUUUCUAACCCGCACCACUUAUCGUGGUGGGAGACAGUGUCAGGCGGGCAGUUUGACUGGGGCGGUCGCCUCCUAAAAGGUAACGGAGGCGCUCAAAGGUUCCCUCAGAAUGGUUGGAAAUCAUUCAUAGAGUGUAAAGGCAUAAGGGAGCUUGACUGCGAGACCUACAAGUCGAGCAGGGUCGAAAGACGGACUUAGUGAUCCGGUGGUUCCGCAUGGAAGGGCCAUCGCUCAACGGAUAAAAGCUACCCCGGGGAUAACAGGCUUAUCUCCCCCAAGAGUUCACAUCGACGGGGAGGUUUGGCACCUCGAUGUCGGCUCAUCGCAUCCUGGGGCUGUAGUCGGUCCCAAGGGUUGGGCUGUUCGCCCAUUAAAGCGGUACGCGAGCUGGGUUCAGAACGUCGUGAGACAGUUCGGUCCCUAUCCGUCGUGGGCGUAGGAAAUUUGAGAGGAGCUGUCCUUAGUACGAGAGGACCGGGAUGGACAUACCUCUGGUGUACCAGUUGUCGUGCCAACGGCAUAGCUGGGUAGCUAUGUGUGGACGGGAUAAGUGCUGAAAGCAUCUAAGCAUGAAGCCCCCCUCAAGAUGAGAUUUCCCAACUUCGGUUAUAAGAUCCCUCAAAGAUGAUGAGG
rnacentral:rRNA from 1 species